rnacentral:rRNA from 1 species
UGGGGAAUAUUGCACAAUGGGCGAAAGCCUGAUGCAGCCAUACCGCGUGGGUGAAGAAGGCCUUAGGGUUGUAAAGCCCUUUCAGUUGGGAAGAAAAGCUUGGGGAUAAUACCCCCGGGUCUUGACGGUACCUUCAGAAGAAGCACCGGCUAACUCCGUGCCAGCAGCCGCGGUAAUACGGAGGGUGCGAGCGUUAAUCGGAAUUACUGGGCGUAAAGCGCGCGUAGGCGGUCUGGUUAGUCAGAUGUGAAAGCCCCGGGCUUAACCUGGGAAUUGCAUUUGAAACUGUCAGGCUAGAGUGUGGUAGAGGGAAGUGGAAUUCCGCGUGGAGCGGUGAAAUGCGUAGAGAUGCGGAGGAACACCAGUGGCGAAGGCGACUUCCUGGACCAACACUGACGCUCAGGUGCGAAAGCGUGGGGAGCAAACAGG